rnacentral:rRNA from 1 species
UACGUAGGGUGCGAGCGUUAAUCGGAAUUACUGGGCGUAAAGCGUGCGCAGGCGGUUCGUCGUGUCCGAUGUGAAAGCCCCGGGCUCAACCUGGGAAUGGCAUUGGGAACUGGCGGGCUUGAGUGUGGCAGAGGGGGGUGGAAUUCCGCGUGUAGCAGUGAAAUGCGUAGAGAUGCGGAGGAACACCGAUGGCGAAGGCAGCCCCCUGGGCUAACACUGACGCUCAGGCACGAAAGCGUGGGGAGCAAACAGG